rnacentral:rRNA from 1 species
GAUGAACGCUGGCGGCGUGCCUAAUACAUGCAAGUCGAGCCAACAGACGAGGAGCUUGCUCCUCUGACGUUAGCGGCGGACGGGUGAGUAACACGUGGAUAACCUACCUAUAAGACUGGGAUAACUUCGGGAAACCGGAGCUAAUACCGGAUAAUAUAUUGAACCGCAUGGUUCAAUAGUGAAAGACGGUUUUGCUGUCACUUAUAGAUGGAUCCGCGCCGCAUUAGCUAGUUGGUAAGGUAACGGCUUACCAAGGCGACGAUGCGUAGCCGACCUGAGAGGGUGAUCGGCCACACUGGAACUGAGACACGGUCCAGACUCCUACGGGAGGCAGCAGUAGGGAAUCUUCCGCAAUGGGCGAAAGCCUGACGGGGCAACGCCGCGUGAGUGAUGAAGGUCUUCGGAUCGUAAAACUCUGUUAUUAGGGAAGAACAAAUGUGUAAGUAACUAUGCACGUCUUGACGGUACCUAAUCAGAAAGCCACGGCUAACUACGUG